rnacentral:rRNA from 1 species
ACCUACGGGGGGCAGCAGUGGGGGAUAUUGCACAAUGGGGGGAACCCUGAUGCAGCGACGCCGCGUGGGUGAAGGAGCGUUUCGGCGCGUAAAGCCCUAUCGGCAGGGAAGAAGAUGACGGUACCUGACCAAGAAGCCCCGGCUAACUACGUGCCAGCAGCCGCGGUAAUACGUAGGGGGCAAGCGUUAUCCGGAUUUACUGGGUGUAAAGGGGGCGUAGACGGCGGUGCAAGCCAGAUGUGAAAGCCCGGGGCUCAACCCCGAGACUGCAUUUGGAACUGU